rnacentral:rRNA from 1 species
UUAAUGAGAGUUUGAUCCUGGCUCAGGACGAACGCUGGCGGCGUGCCUAAUACAUGCAAGUAGAACGCUGAGGUUUGGUGUUUACACUAGACUGAUGAGUUGCGAACGGGUGAGUAACGCGUAGGUAACCUGCCUCAUAGCGGGGGAUAACUAUUGGAAACGAUAGCUAAUACCGCAUAAGAGUAAUUAACACAUGUUAGUUAUUUAAAAGGAGCAAUUGCUUCACUGUGAGAUGGACCUGCGUUGUAUUAGCUAGUUGGUGAGGUAAAGGCUCACCAAGGCGACGAUACAUAGCCGACCUGAGAGGGUGAUCGGCCACACUGGGACUGAGACACGGCCCAGACUCCUACGGGAGGCAGCAGUAGGGAAUCUUCGGCAAUGGACGGAAGUCUGACCGAGCAACGCCGCGUGAGUGAA